AGAGUUUGAUUCUGGCUCAGGAUGAACGCUGGCGGCGUGCCUAAUACAUGCAAGUCGAACGCUUCACAUAUGUGAAGAGUGGCGAACGGGUGAGUAAUACAUAAGUAACCUGGCCUUUACAGGGGGAUAACUGUUGGAAACGAUAGCUAAGACCGCAUAGGUGUCAUAACCGCAUGGAGAUGAUAUGAAAUAUGCUACGGCAUAGGUAGAGGAUGGACUUAUGGCGCAUUAGCUAGUUGGAGGGGUAACGGCCCACCAAGGCGACGAUGCGUAGCCGACCUGAGAGGGUGACCGGCCACACUGGGACUGAGACACGGCCCAGACUCCUACGGGAGGCAGCAGUAGGGAAUUUUCGGCAAUGGGGGAAACCCUGACCGAGCAACGCCGCGUGAAGGAAGAAGUAAUUCGUUAUGUAAACUUCUGUCAUAGAGGAAGAACGGUGCGUGUAGGGAAUGACAUGCAAGUGACGGUACUCUAUAAGAAAGCCACGGCUAACUACGUGCCAGCAGCCGCGGUAAUACGUAGGUGGCGAGCGUUAUCCGGAAUUAUUGGGCGUAAAGAGGGAGCAGGCGGCACUAAGGGUCUGUGGUGAAAGAUCGAAGCUUAACUUCGGUAAGCCAUGGAAACCGUAGAGCUAGAGUGUGUGAGAGGAUCGUGGAAUUCCAUGUGUAGCGGUGAAAUGCGUAGAUAUAUGGAGGAACACCAGUGGCGAAGGCGACGAUCUGGCGCAUAACUGACGCUCAGUCCCGAAAGCGUGGGGAGCAAAUAGGAUUAGAUACCCUAGUAGUCCACGCCGUA
rnacentral:rRNA from 1 species